rnacentral:rRNA from 1 species
GACGAACGCUGGCGGCGUGCUUAACACAUGCAAGUCGAACGGAAAGGCCCUGCUUUUGUGGGGUGCUCGAGUGGCGAACGGGUGAGUAACACGUGAGUAACCUGCCCUUGACUUUGGGAUAACUUCAGGAAACUGGGGCUAAUACCGGAUAGGAGCUCCUGCUGCCUGGUGGGGGUUGGAACGUUUCGGCGGUUGGGGAUGGACUCGCGGCUUAUCAGCUUGUUGGUGGGGUAGUGGCUUACCAAGGCUUUGACGGGUAGCCGGCCUGAGAGGGUGACCGGCCACAUUGGGACUGAGAUACGGCCCAGACUCCUACGGGAGGCAGCAGUGGGGAAUAUUGCACAAUGGGCGGAAGCCUGAUGCAGCAACGCCGCGUGCGGGAUGACGGCCUUCGGGUUGUAAACCGCUUUCGCCUGUGACGAAGCGUGAGUGACGGUAAUGGGUAAAGAAGCACCGGCUAACUACGUG